rfam:Arabis alpina cultivar Pajares chromosome 8, whole genome shotgun sequence.
AAGCCGUGGUGUGGACAAUCUCUGUGAUAACCUUUGAAACGUUCCUAAGCAGUCUUGAACGCCUCGGUCGGACCCUGACCAAAAAAAGAGAUCUUUGCUCUCAGAUC